rnacentral:lncRNA from 1 species
CUAUAUUCUGAAGUAUAAUGACCAAGUUUUUGACAAUUGUAACAUUUAAUUUGAGAUUUGUCAUACCUUGGUCCUUCAUUUUUCCUCUUACCUUUCCUCUUCCGCGACCUCUAGUAGAAAACGAACUUUGUCUUCUUUCCUCCUUGUAGAAUGCAAUUCUUCCUCGAUCUUGGCCUCAUCCUCUUCCUCUUUGGCUUCUUCUACUAUUGAACCUUCCUUCACCCUCGUUCAAAGUGAGCUUUGUUUGAAGAGCUUGCUCUAAUGGCUCUUCUUUCACUUUCUUCUUUAGUCUUUCCUCAUGGGCUUGUAAAGAUCCCAUGAGUUGAUCGACACUCAUACUAUCUAGAUCUUUAGAUUCCUCAAUGGCUACAACUAUGUAGUCAAAUUUAGAAUCUAAAGACCUAAGUAUCUUCUCAAUUACUCGAGUGUCGUUCAACUUUUCUCCAUUCCUUUUUAAUUGAUUCACAAUAGCUAAUACUCUAGAGAAGUAAUCAGAAAUUGAU